CUGAAGUGAAGUAAGAAGACCCGCUGAAUUUAAGCAUAUAACUAAGCGGAGGAAAAGAAACUAACAAGGAUUCCCUCAGUAACGGCGAGUGAAGCGGGAAGAGCUCAACUUAAAUCUGCCGCCAGGCCGAAUUGUAGUCUACAGAGGCUGUCAUCAGUAUGGAUCCCCGUUCAAGUGUCAUGGAACUGACCGCCAAGGAGGGUGAUAGCCCCGUCCUGACGGAGGAUCUCUGCGUACGAUGCGCUUUCGAAGAGUCGAGUUGCUUGGGACUGCAGCUCAAAUCGGGUGGUAAAUUCCAUCCAAAGCUAAAUACAGGCGAGAGACCGAUAGCGAACAAGUACUGUGAAGGAAAGAUGCAAAGAACUUUGAAAAGAGAGUUAAAGAGUACCUGAAAUUGCUGAAAGGGAAGUGUUUGAGCUCAGUGUUGU
rnacentral:rRNA from 14 species